rnacentral:rRNA from 1 species
UACAGAGGUCUCAAGCGUUGUUCGGAAUCACUGGGCUUAAAGGGCGCGUAGGCGGGCCACCCAGUCCGGGGUGAAAUCUUUCGGCUCAACCGGAAAAGGGCCUUGGAUACUGGUGGUCUGGAGGAAGGUAGGGGCAUGCGGAACUUCCGGUGGAGCGGUGAAAUGCGUUGAUAUCGGAAGGAACGCCGGUGGCGAAAGCGGCGUGCUGGACCUUUGCUGACGCUGAUGCGCGAAAGCCAGGGGAGCGAACGGG